AUGCCUAAUCCUAGGGAAGUGGAUCGUGCUUUUUUUGUGGAAAAUGUGAGACUGAAGCAGUGUGGAGUUUCAGUUAAGUUUUCUCCUUGGUCUGAAGAUAUUGAAUCUGAGGGCCUGUUGGAAAUUGCUCGGGUUCGAAUUGGGAAGAUCCCUCCGAACAAGAGAUGUGAUAGGACUGUGGCCUAUGUGGGUGGAUUAGUGGGCAUUACUCUUGAGGUAGAUAUGUCUACUAUAAAUCGUUCCCCAUAUGUUAGAGCCAAAAUUGGAUGUCGC
rnacentral:rRNA from 1 species